UAAUGAUUUAGCAUUCAUAAACAUACAUAUAUGUACAUAUAACAUAAACGAAAAAUAUUCUAGUCAGAAUAUUGAUGUAUGAAAAUUGUUUUAGACAGAGCAGCUGUCGGUGCCUUGUCGAUGUCUCCAUGAAAAUAGUUAAUGGGUAGUGUGAAUUGGAAAAAGGAAUGAAUGAAAUGGAAAGUAAGUUUCAUCACUAUCAUAUUGUGAUUAUUUUUCAAUAUUUCCCUUCACGACAGAUUCACUGAAAAAAGAAUUAAAAGAUCUGCAACGUACUAUUAAUAAAGCAACUGAACAGAUAACAGCAUUAAUUGACGUGAAAAAUGUUGUGGAGCUAAGAAAAGUCUUUCCUCUACGAACCGAGGAGGAUUUACGUAAUAUAGAUAUGAAAAUUGCAGAAUCACCAGGCAAUUAUCUACCGUUUUUUCAGAAGAUUCUGAUGCCGGAAGGCAUCAAAAAUAUAGAGAAAAUAAAUUUUGCCGGAAGUGGUACGGAGAAGGCAUUUGAUAAUUAAAUAAUAAAUUAAAAAUAAUUUAAAUAAUAUAUUGUAUGAGGCUACUACCAGCAAUGAUGGCAAUUUUAACGAUUAUAAGAAGAACAUUCGAGCGACAUUUGCAAGGGUUAAAAAUCGAGUAAAAUAAGACCAAUUGCAUUAGAAGAAAAAUAAAAUCCGAAAGAAUGGGAGACAAGGUAAUAUAAAUAGACACAUUCAGGGGCUGUUCUUUAAAAUGCCGGCGGGACAAUUGGAUAAAUUACAUUCAUGCCAAGCCACAAUUAUCCAUUUAGUACAUUAAACUAAUUCCUAUAGUAGUAGACUGACUAGAAACAUUUUGUGUUGAAAUAUAAU